rnacentral:rRNA from 1 species
AGAGCGAACGCUGGCGGCAGGCCUAACACAUGCAAGUCGAACGGAUCCUUCGGGAUUAGUGGCGGACGGGUGAGUAACACGUGGGAACGUGCCUUUUGGUUCGGAACAACUCAGGGAAACUUGAGCUAAUACCGGAUGUGCCCUUCGGGGGAAAGAUUUAUCGCCAUUAGAGCGGCCCGCGUCUGAUUAGCUAGUUGGUGGGGUAAAGGCCUACCAAGGCUACGAUCAGUAGCUGGUCUGAGAGGAUGAUCAGCCACAUUGGGACUGAGACACGGCCCAAACUCCUACGGGAGGCAGCAGUGGGGAAUCUUGCGCAAUGGGCGAAAGCCUGACGCAGCCAUGCCGCGUGAAUGAUGAAGGUCUUAGGAUUGUAAAAUUCUUUCACCGGGGACAUAAUGACGGUACCCGGAGAAGAAGCCCCGGCUAACUUCGUGCCAGCAGCCGC